UACGUAGGGAGCAAGCGUUGUCCGGAAUCAUUGGGCGUAAAGCGUGCGUAGGUGGUUCGUUAAGUCUGAUGUGAAAGCCCUGGGCUCAACCUGGGAAUGGCAUUGGAAACUGGCGACCUAGAGUGCGGUAGAGGGUAGUGGAAUUCCCGGUGUAGCAGUGAAAUGCGUAGAGAUCGGGAGGAACAUCUGUGGCGAAGGCGGCCUGCUGGGCUGUUGCUGACGCUGAGGCGCGACAGCGUGGGGAGCAAACGGG
rnacentral:rRNA from 1 species